rnacentral:rRNA from 1 species
UACGUAGGGACCAAGCGUUGUUCGGAUUUACUGGGCGUAAAGGGCGCGUAGGCGGCAAUUCAAGUCAGCUGUGAAAUCUCCGGGCUUAACUCGGAACGGUCAGCUGAUACUGCUUUGCUAGAGUGCAGAAGGGGCAAUCGGAAUUCUUGGUGUAGCGGUGAAAUGCGUAGAUAUCAAGAGGAACACCUGAGGUGAAGACGGGUUGCUGGGCUGACACUGACGCUGAGGCGCGAAAGCUAGGGGAGCAAACGGG